rnacentral:rRNA from 1 species
UACGUAGGGUGCAAGCGUUGUCCGGAUUUAUUGGGCGUAAAGAGCUCGUAGGCGGUCUGUCGCGUCGGAUGUGAAAACCCAGGGCUCAACCCUGGGCCUGCAUUCGAUACGGGCAGACUUGAGUUCGGCAGGGGAGACUGGAAUUCCUGGUGUAGCGGUGAAAUGCGCAGAUAUCAGGAGGAACACCGGUGGCGAAGGCGGGUCUCUGGGCCGAUACUGACGCUGAGGAGCGAAAGCGUGGGGAGCGAACAGG